UACGGGGGGAGCAAGCGUUGUUCGGAUUUACUGGGCGUAAAGGGCGCGUAGGCGGCCAGCGCAAGUCAGUUGUGAAAUCUCCGAGCUUAACUCGGAAAGGUCGACUGAUACUGCGCGGCUAGAGUGCGGAAGGGGCAACUGGAAUUCUCGGUGUAGCGGUGAAAUGCGUAGAUAUCGAGAGGAACACCUGCGGCGAAGGCGGCCCCCUGGUUGGAUACUGACGCUGAGACGCGAAAGCGUGGGGAGCAAACAGG
rnacentral:rRNA from 1 species